AUUCAAUAGAUUUAUUAAAUUAGUGAAAUGCUUUUCAGUUUCAAAACUGUAAACAGACGCUUCCCCUUUCACCUUACCUUCUACCUUUUCUCCUUCUCUCAGCCGUUUCUAGGUUUCAAGUCGUUUAAAACCUUCUCUCAGACACACUGCUUUUCCGUGUUUGCCACUGAUUUCAGCACCUCCUCGACACCCUCCCUCGCCCUUCCACCGCUGUCUGGAAAACCUUCAUCAUGGGCUUCAUCUGCGACCAGGAUUCAGAACUGAUAUCGUUUCCCUUUUUUUCUCUGAUCGUGAUGGAGAAGAUUGUUGAGGUUUGGCAAUCAGGUUAGAACUAGAUUGCUGAGGUUUGGCAAUCAGGUUUGAACGAUGAUGUUUUCUGCUCUUUGUCAAUUCAUUUUCAUUUUUUCCGUUCAGAACCUAUUUGAUUAGGUCUUCAAGGGCUUCCUUCCGAUGAGAACGACGAUCUGCACCCAAAAGUUAUGAAUUGUCGUUUUGCUUACCCAUAGAGAGAGGGAGAGUGGGCGAUAGAGCGACGGUGGCAACAGUCCACCAAGACUCUGCUCUCACCGAAGGACGCCGUGGUUUGCUUGAUUUGGCUUUUAUUUUCAUAUUUAAGAUUAGUAUGACCCAAUUGGCAACCAGCAAGAAGAAUUAAGAAGAAGCACCUAACUUUGUGUAACCAUGCUUCACCUAUACCUCAAUGGUGAUUAUCAAGCCUCUGCCAUGUACUUUUGUUGAAUGUUGAUACAUAAACUACUUCUAAAAGUUCCAAAGUGGGUAUGGUCCCUCAAUUGAAAGUUGAAAGUGCAUCUCCUACCACGGGUUGUUCAGUGCACAUUGUAUAGUUCCUUGGCAUGCAGCGAUGAAUUGCAAGGAAUGCCUCAAGUCUGAAAGGAAAGGUGAAAAAGAUUCAAAUAGAAGUGGUUGUUCUUGCUUCCUCUCCUACCACGGGCUGUUCAGUUUCUGUAUUUUGCUAAAGGUAACAUGUAAUAAUUAAUGAAAAUAUGAGUGGUUGUUCUUGCUUCCUCCAUUUUCUCUUUACAGGUUGGAUGCAACUUCUGCUACAACAGUGGGAAGGAUUGAAGGCAUGGACAUAUAUGUGACAAACCUUAGUCCACAUUAGACUUCACAUGUAUCAUUGGAAGUCCUACCAUUCAGAAUUAGAUUUUAUUUUGAAUUACUCAAUUGCAUUGAGGUGAGGAGAUUUAAAGUUUUCUUUUGGUAUGAGUUUCCAAUUAUUCUACACAUCUUAUCUCUCAUGUAAAUGAAAAGAAAUAAAGUGUUGUUUGUAAGGAUAGAUUGUAUGCUUUAUAAUAGGGAUUUCAAAAUAAUUUAGUUGUAGUAGUUUAUUUCAGCUUACUUUCAUGUAUUUAAGCAGAAACACCUGAGAAUAGGAUGGAGUAACUUUAGGGAUCAAAAGCUAUUUUCAAAAGUUCAAAUUGAUUCCACAAAAAUUAGUUGUUUGCAUUUGCAGACCAGGUUCCAAGUUGUUUUCCCAGCCUCCUUCCCCAUAGGCAUGCUAGCCAUUUGCACAUGUGCUUGGAUUUUGUUUGUCUUUGAAAGGAUGCUGCCAUGGGAAGAAAAAUCUCUUCCAUUCCAGCAUCGGGGUGGUAAUGAGGAUAAUGGAGUUAAGUUAGUGAAACACAUUUCUUUGUUGUGCUAAAAAUGUAUAACAAUGAACAAGCAUGGGGAAAUUCUUAUCUAAUGCAUGGAAUGGACUUGGGAAACAAGAGUGCAUAUGAGCAAAACCAGGGACAACAGAGAUUCAGUUUACAUUCUCUAAGUAAAACCAGAGACACAACAUAGAUUCAGUUUGCAUCUAUCUAUAAACUAUAUAAAGGAAGAGCUUUUCAGCCUAGAGGGUAAGUUUGUAAUUCAAUAUCCUAUUGCACUACAAUUUAAUUUCCUUUAUGGGUAUUUUGGUAAAGGUAAACAUUAUUUUCCAAAAGAUGCAAUCCCAGCCGUUCUUUUGAUCUCUGUUGAGUUUUUGCUUGAAAAAACCCUUUGACUUUCAUUCUUCACAAUUGUAUUCGUAACCGAGAAAAUGUUUUGAGCUCUCAACACCUGCAGAACGUUUUGAGUCUCCUCAUCUGCUUAUCAUCUUGGUUAAAUAGGACUGGCUUCGUCGAUUUCUCUUUCACCCUGUUUCCCCUAAUUUUUUUGUCAUUCCUUCACAGGUGAUCACUUUCCAUUUUUGUUGUUUCAUCAUUUUACAUUUUCAAUGUUUGAGCUCUCUUAAUUUGAUUAUUUUGCAUAUAUAUAAUCAAAACGUUGACUAUGUGUAUGAUGCCUUCUAACAGUUUUGUUUGUACCCAAAAAUGCUCCAAUGUUCAAUUUCUUAUGGCAUGUUUCAGUUUUCCUCAAUGCCACAGAAUAGCAGCAAGAUGGUGCCCCGACGACCACAAUUUCAGCUGCUUUAGCGGCUGCGUGACUGGUGCACUAACCUGGGAUGCUACACAGCAAUUAGGAGCAUUCAAUUUCUUAUGCUUUCUUUUCUUCUCUUUGUUACCCAAGAUUUACAUGUUUAGCCAGAUGAAGAAUUUGUAAAACCUUUUGUUCAUGUAUUGUUAUGUAGGAGGUUUGCUGCACAAAUCACCAUCUCAAAUGAAAUUGCGCUGAGGUACAUCCUCUUUCUCUUUCUCAUUUGGUGAAAUUGAGGUACAUAUCCUUUACUAUUAGACUAAAAUAUUGAGCAGCCAUAUUUUUAAUAUAUAACCAAGAAAGGGUAUGGAGAUUAUUCCAUGUCCAUAUGUUAUGAUUAUAGUGCCACUAUCUUAGGAGAAAACUGAAACGCUGCAUAGUGAUUCAGAUCAUAUGGUAUUAGUUUAUGUAUCUGUUCUCUUUUUUUUUUUCCUUAUAUCUAUUUUAAUGUUUUAUUUGUGAUCAUGAUCCUUUUGAAGCAGUUGAAUACAUUGAGGAUCUUCAUUCUUUGUAUUGGAAACUGGAGGUAUCUGAUUGUUAUAAUUUACUUCAAUUGGGAAAUUGAUAAAAGUUUCAGGAGGGCAUUGACUUCAAAUGUGGGGGUAGUUUCACCAAAUGAACGAGAUUUAAGGAAAGGACAUGGGGAGUGACACAUAUUGUUGCUAUCUCUUAAAUUUUCUUGGUCUAAUGAAUCUUUGUUAGUCGAACUGAGCUUAUUUUCUCAAGCCUUAAGAGCAAGUUUUCUAAAUCUGAUGCUUAUUAGAUGUUUUUCCUUUGUUGACUACCCUUGCUUUUAUAUCCUAAUUUUAACAGAUACAUUUAUUUCAUUUGUUAUAAAAAUUGAUGUGUCUUGCUUGCUGAAAUGAACUAAUAUAACACAGGAGAGUUCUUAUUGCUUACUGAUUAGAAUGUGAAGAUAAAUUUAAUAAUAUAGAAGUUAUAUUAUGUCUUCAGGUUAUUUCAGAGGAAAAUCAACGCGCUAUUGUAGUUAACUGGUGGUACUAAUUUACAACACAUAAGAUGGAUGAGAGCUGAGGUGCACUGACACUAAUUUAGAGCACUGAAAAAUACCUUAUCUUUUGAUAGCUUUUUUCGCUUUGUUGCUAUGAAAAUUUGAAUAUGAUUAGUUGUAGUGCUUACCUGCUUGCUCACAAUCAAAGUGUUUAAUUGGGUUUUGUGAUUGAAUAUGUUUUGGCCUUGAAGUGAGAUGAGUUUUUCAUAUUCAUAAGAAUUGGGAUGUGUGAUGGUUUAAAUGUUACAUUUUCUCCUUUUUAUGGUCGUGUAAAGCUGGGGAUGGGGAGUGAGGAGUUGUAUGGUAACAUUGUGUCUCUGUAUAUUUAUUUUUGUAGCAAACAGAUGAUAUGAAUGUACCUUAAAAUGCUAGCAUUUAUUUGAGUGAUUCAAUGUUUCCGUUAUCA